ACCACCCUGGCAAGGGGAUCCUCCACAGGUAUCCAGUCUCACCGGAUCAAGAGUGAACUUGCCCACGGCUGAAACCCAUUGGCAAGACACCCACUUUCCUCCAGAUACCUUGAAUGAACACCAAAUUGAUUCAGCUCCAAAUCCCCAACCCUCUAGGGCACAGACCCUGGCACAUUACAACUCUGCAAAAGACUGGUUGGAUGGAUAUUUAGGAAGCCCACCUGUGUGCUUGGUGCUGGGCAAAACGGAGAUGGCAUCAUCCCUGAAGAAGCAGACAAGGACAACUUAAAAUCCAGGAAUAAGGUCUGAGGAGAGGAGGGAGACCAGUUUGUAAGAUCAGGCGAUUAGGGAAGGCUCUGGACGAGGUGCAAACAAAUCUGGUCCAGUGCAAGGACCCCUUGCUCCACAGUGGAAGAAGACAGUUUUACAUUCAUUUGUGAAUUCAUUUCAACAUUUCUUUACACCAUAUAAAUAUGUGGUUCUGGGUCUUCUCCUUUGAACCAGUUGUGGCAUCU